rnacentral:lncRNA from 13 species
UGUAUUGUGUAUGAGGGUGUCUGUAACAUAAUUUUGACUUGUCUCACUGUGUUGUCAGACUCUAAAGGCUCUGUGUCUGGACAGUAUACGCAGUAAGAUCCUCCAGAGACUAGAGCUGUGUCUGGAUAUACUGGGAGGAACAGUGGAGAGAAUCUCCAACACAGCAGAGGUGUUGGGAGCUGUACAUCAGGAGGCUCGUGUGAGUCGAGCGGUGGAGCUGAUGGUGAGCCACGUUGACAACCUGAAGAGGCGUAAUGAGAGAGACACAGAGCUGGACGAGACCAAGAAACUCAACAGGAAAAUCCUCCGUAGGAACUACAGCGACCCUAGAGAUGAAGGAGAGUUCAGGCAGAAGGACAAUAAAACCUCUCAGCAGUUGCACAUUGGUGCAAGUCGUCGAAGGGUCAGCAUAGCAGUGAUCAACAAACAAGCCCAGGAAAAGAGAAAAUUGGAAAGAGGGCUGCAGAAGUCAUUCUCAUUAGAUCAUGGGAUAGGCAAGAAGUCACUCUCAACCCCAUCUCCAUCAAUGGACUCCAUCACAGAGUCCAACCCUUCAGUCAUGGUCAAGACAGAAGAGAUGGAUGUUCCCUUCCUGGAUGGCAGACCACAUGAAGCCCCUGAUGAUAACAAACAAGCAGUUGCUGCUGAUGUCCAGUCACCACCUGAACCAGACCCCACUCCAGUCUAUACAGCACCCUGUCCCACUCUCACACACAAGCCAAACGAAGUGGACACCAAGAAAAACAGCAUGAGGUGCAGACAUAAAGGCAAGGCUGCACUGGAGAGGACGGAGAGGAGGAUAGGGAACAGAGAGAAAACUAUGACACACACCGACCAAUGCAUCACCGGAACGUAAGUCACUUAUAAUCAAAUCAAAUUGUAUUUGUCACGUGCGCCCGAAUACAACAGGUGUAGGUAGACCUUACAGUGAUAUACAUACUUACAAGCCCUUAAAAACUUAUUUGGGAUAGGGGGCAGUAUUUUCACGUCCAGAUGCCUGUUACUCAGGCCCAGAAGCUAGGAUAUGCAUAUGCGUGAUAGUAUUAGAUACAAAACACUCUAACGUUUCUAAAAAUGUUAAAAUAAUGUCUGUGAGUAUAACAGAACUGAUUUGGCAGGCGAAACCCCGAGCACAAUCCAUCCAAGGAAUUUUUUUUAAUUGUGUUUUCCAAUGCUUUUCUAUGGGAAACCUGAUUUAUAAGGGCCCAGAUUGCAGUUCAUAUGGCUUCCACUAGAUGUCAACAGUCUUUAGAAAUUGUUUGAUGUUUUUCUUUUGAGAAAUGAAGAAAUAGUCCUAUUCUUUCCAUGUGUCCCUCAGAUGGACUCAGUCUUUUGGUGUGCGUGAACAGGAGUGCGCUCCUCUUUAUUUUCCUCCGGUAUUGGAAACCAUUUAUUCUGUUUUAAAUUUUAUCGAUUAUUUACAUUUUAGGGUACCUGAGGUUGGAUUAGAAAAGUUGUUUGAAAUGUUUGGACCAAGUUUACAAGUAACUUAUUAGAUACUUUGUAGCCAUGUUGGGCGAGUUGGAACCGGUGUAUUUCUGAAACAAACGCGCCAAAUAAAUUGACAUUUUUGGGAUAUAAAGAAGGAAUUUAUCGAAAAAAAACAACCAUUCAUUGUGUCACUGAGGCAUUUGUGCCUCAAAGUAAAGGCAUUUAUUAUACCCCUAUUUCUGACUUUCGUGUCACAUUAGCCUGGUUGAAAAAUGGUUUUCAUGUUUUUGUAUGCGGGGCGCUGUCCUCAGAUAAUCGCAUGGUGUGCUUUCGCCGUAAAGCCUUUUUGAAAUCUGACACAGCGGCUCGAUUAACAAGAAGUUAAGCUUUAUUUUGAUGUAUUACAUUUGUAUUUAUAUGAAUGUUAAAUAUUUAUAUUUCUGUAGUUUGAAUUUGGCACUCUGCAAUUUCACUGGAUGUUGUCAAAUCUAAUGGGAUUCGAGCGUUAAGGGAUCCCUAUUAACCAUCAAUGCAGUUUUAAGACAAAGUAAAAAAUAGAUAAGUAAAACAUUAUUUAAAAAUGUAAGUGCAGCAGUAAAAUAACAAUGGCGAGGCUAUAUACAGGGGGUACCGGUACAAAUCAAAUCAAAUGUAUUUGUCACAUACACAUGGUUAGCAGAUGUUAAUGCGAGUGUAGCGAAAUGCUUGUGCUUCUAAUUCCGACAAUGCAAUAAUAACCAACGAGUAAUCUAACCUAACAAUUCCAAAACUACUACCUUAUACACACAAGUGUAAAGGGAUAAAGAAUAUGUACAUAAAGAUAUAUGAAUGAGUGAUGGUACAGAACGGCAUAGGCAAGAUGCAGUAGAUGGUAUCGAGUAUAGUAUAUACAUAUGAGAUGAGUAAUAUAGGGUAUGUAAACAAAGUGGCAUAGUUUUAAGUGGCUAGUGAUACAUGUAUUACAUAAAGAUACAGUAGAUGAUAGAGUACAGUAUGUACAUAUAUAUAUGAGAUGACUAAUGUAGGGUAUGUAAACAUUAUAUUAAGUAGCAUUGUAAGUCAAUGUGUGGGGGGGCUAUUCUUUGACUUUCUCUGAUGUCACUACUAUGGAAGUAUAUUGCAAUU